rnacentral:rRNA from 1 species
AGUGAACGCUGGCGGUAGGCCUAACACAUGCAAGUCGAACGGCAGCACAGUAAGAGCUUGCUCUUACGGGUGGCGAGUGGCGGACGGGUGAGGUAUACAUCGGAAUCUACUUUUUCGUGGGGGAUAACGUAGGGAAACUUACGCUAACACCGCAUACGACCUACGGGUGAAAGCAUGGGAUCUUCGGACCUUGCGCGAUUGAAUGAGCCGAUGUCGGAUUAGCUAGUUGGCGGGGUAAUGGCCCACCAAGGCGACGAUUCGUAGCUGGUAUGAGAGGAUGAUCAGCCACACUGGAACUGAGACACGGUCCAGACUCCUACGGGAGGCAGCAGUGGGGAAUAUUGGACAAUGGGCGCAAGCCUGAUCCAGCCAUACCGCGCGGGUGAAGAAGGCCUUCGGGUUUUAAAGCCCUUUUGUUGGGAAAGAAAAGCAGCAGGUUAAUACCCCGCUGUUCUGACGGUACCCAAAGAAUAAGCACCGGCUAACUUCGUG